GAAUUGACGGGACCCGCACAAGUGGUGAGCAUGUGGUUUAAUUCGAAGAUACACGAAGAACCUUACCUGGGCUUGACAUCCCGGGAAUCCCUUGGAAACAAGGGAGUGCCCUUCGGGGAACCUGGAGACAGGUGCUGCAUGGCUGUCGUCAGCUCGUGUCGUGAGAUGUUGGGUUAAGUCCCGCAACGAGCGCAACCCUUAUCUUUAGUUACCAUCAUUCAGUUGGGGACUCUAAAGACACUGCCCCGGUCAACGGGGAGGAAGGUGGGGAUGACGUCAAGUCCUCAUGGCCCUUAUGUCCAGGGCUACACACGUGCUACAAUGCCCACUACAAAGCGAGGCCACCCGGCAACGGGGAGCUAAUCGCAAAAAGGUGGGCCCAGUUCGGAUUGGGGUCUGCAACCCGACCCCAUGAAGCCGGAAUCGCUAGUAAUCGCGGAUCAGCCAUGCCGCGGUGAAUACGUUCCCGGGCCUU
rnacentral:rRNA from 1 species